rnacentral:rRNA from 1 species
GAUGAACGCUGGCGGCGUGCCUAAUACAUGCAAGUCGAGCGAACGGACGAGAAGCUUGCUUCUCUGAUAUUAGCAGCGGACGGGUGAGUCAAACGUGGAUAACCUACCUAUAAGACUGGGAUAACUUCGGGAAACCGGAGCUAAUACCGGAUAAUAUUUUGAACCGCAUGGUUCUAAAGUGAAAGACGGUCUUUCUUUCACUUCUAGAUGGAUCCGCGCUACAUUAGCUAGUUGGUAGGGUAACGGCUUACCAAGGCAACGAUGCAUAGCCGACCUGAGAGAGUGGCGGGCUACACAGAAGGUUGAACAGGAUCGAGACGACUACAGGACGCAGUAGGAGGGAAUCUUCCACAAUGGUCGAAAGCCUGACGGGGCAACGCAGCGUGAGUGAUGAAGAUCUUAGGAGCGUAAAACUCUGUUAUUAGAGAAGAACAUAUGUGUAAGUAACUAAGCACAUCUUGACGGUACCUAAUAAGAAAACCACGGCUAACUACGUG